UACGGAGGGGGCUAGCGUUGUUCGGAAUUACUGGGCGUAAAGCGCGCGUAGGCGGAUCUGCAAGUCGGGGGUGAAAUCCCGAGGCUCAACCUCGGAACUGCCUUCGAUACUGCGGGUCUCGAGUCCGGGAGAGGUGAGUGGAAUUCCUAGUGUAGAGGUGAAAUUCGUAGAUAUUAGGAAGAACACCAGUGGCGAAGGCGGCUCACUGGCCCCGGUAC
rnacentral:rRNA from 1 species